rnacentral:rRNA from 1 species
GUAAUACAUAAGUAACCUGCCCUAGACAGGGGGAUAACUAUUGGAAACGAUAGCUAAGACCGCAUAGGUACGGACACUGCAUGGUGACCGUAUUAAAAGUGCCUCAAAGCACUGGUAGAGGAUGGACUUAUGGCGCAUUAGCUGGUUGGCGGGGUAACGGCCCACCAAGGCGACGAUGCGUAGCCGACCUGAGAGGGUGACCGGCCACACUGGGACUGAGACACGGCCCAGACUCCUACGGGAGGCAGCAUG